rnacentral:rRNA from 1 species
ACUCAAAUGAAUUGACGGGGAUCCGCACAAGCGGUGGAGCGUGUGGUUUAAUGCGACGCUAAGCGGAGAACCUUACCUAGGCUUGACAUCCCGGGAAUCUCUUGGAAACGAGAGAGUGCCGCAAGGAACCCGGUGACAGGUGAUGCAUGGCCGUCGUCAGCUCGUGUCGUGAGAUGUUGGGUUAAGUCCCGCAACGAGCGCAACCCCUGUCGUGUGUUGGAUUUUUCACGCGAAACUGCCUCGGUCAACGAGGAGGAAGGUGGGGAUGAAGUCAGGUCCGCAUGUCCCUUACUGCCUAGGGCGACACACGCGCUACAAUGGUCGGUACAAUGGGUUGCGAAAUCGCAAGAUGAAGCUAAUCCCAUCAAAGCCGGCCCCAGUUCGGAUUGGAGGCUGCAACUCGCCUCCAUGAAGCCGGAAUCGCUAGUAAACGCGAAUCAGCCACGUUGCGUUGAAUACGUUCUCGGAUCUUGUACACACCGCCCGU